rnacentral:rRNA from 1 species
ACUACGGGUGGCAGCAGUGGGGAAUAUUGCACAAUGGGGGAAACCCUGAUGCAGCGACGCCGCGGGAGUGAAGAAGUAUUUCGGUAUGUAAAGCUCUAUCAGCAGGGAAGAAAAUGACGGUACCUGACUAAGAAGCCCCGGCUAACUACGUGCCAGCAGCCGCGGUAAUACGUAGGGGGCAAGCGUUAUCCGGAUUUACUGGGUGUAAAGGGAGCGUAGACGGCCAGACAAGUCAGAAGUGAAAGCCCAGGGCUCAACCCUGGGACUGCUUUUGAAACUGCCGGGCUGGAGUGUAGGAGAGGUAAGCGGAAUGCCUAGUGUAGCGGUGAAAUGCGUAGAUAUUAGGAGGAACACCAGUGGCGAAGGCGGUUUACUGGACUGUAACUGACGUUGAGGCUCGAAAGCGUGGGGGGCAAACAGGAUUAGAUACCCCAGUAGUC